AGUGAACGCUGGCGGCAUGCCUUACACAUGCAAGUCGAACGGCAGCGGGGGAGAAGCUUGCUUUUCCUGCCGGCGAAUGGCGAACGGGUGAGUAAUACAUCGGAACGUGCCCUGAAGUGGGGGAUAACUAGUCGAAAGAUUAGCUAAUACCGCAUACGACCUGAGGGUGAAAGUGGGGGACCGCAAGGCCUCAUGCUAUAGGAGCGGCCGAUGUCUGAUUAGCUAGUUGGUGGGGUAAAGGCCUACCAAGGCGACGAUCAGUCGCUGGUCUGAGAGGACGAUCAGCCACACUGGGACUGAGACACGGCCCAGACUCCUACGGGAGGCAGCAGUGGGGAAUUUUGGACAAUGGGCGAAAGCCUGAUCCAGCAAUGCCGCGUGUGUGAAGAAGGCCUUCGGGUUGUAAAGCACUUUUGUCCGGAAAGAAAUGGCUCUGGUUAAUACCUGGGGUCGAUGACGGUACCGGAAGAAUAAGGACCGGCUAACUACGUGCCAGCAGCCGCCGUAAAAC
rnacentral:rRNA from 1 species